AUCUUUUUCCUUUCAACAAGUAUUAGUAGUAAGAUGAAGAACACUAGUCCUCUCCUUCUUUCUUAAAAACUUGGGUUUGAUGUUAUGGUGGUGUUUUGGCUUGAGAAAAGAAAAGGAGGGUUUAGAAGACAAGAUUAAGAGAUGGAUUUUUUGAGCUUUAGCUAUGGAGUUGCAGUUUAGUGUGGGACCUUGUAGCCGAUGAGCUCGGGAUAGAAGGGAAGUACAG